GACGAACGCUGGCGGCGUGCUUAACACAUGCAAGUCGAGCGGUAAGGCCCUUUCGGGGGUACACGAGCGGCGAACGGGUUGAGUAACACGUGGGUGACCUGCCCUCAGCUCUGGGAUAAGCCUGGGAAACCGGGUCUAAUACUGGAUAUGACUCCAUGACGCAUGUUGUGGGGUGGAAAGCCUUGUGCGGCUGAGGAUGGGCCCGCGGCCUAUCAGCUUGUUGGUGGGGUGAUGGCCUACCAAGGCGACGACGGGUAGCCGGCCUGAGAGGGCGACCGGCCACACUGGGACUGAGACACGGCCCAGACUCCUACGGGAGGCAGCAGUGGGGAAUCUUGCGCAAUGGGCGAAAGCCUGACGCAGCGACGCCGCGUGAGGGAUGACGGCCU
rnacentral:rRNA from 1 species